UUAAAGGGAAUUUCAUGCUCGUUAUAUAUUUAGCCCAAAGCCUACAAAUGUGCUGUCACGCAGUAUCCUGAUGGAAAAAUAUGACAUCACCCAAGUCAGGACAAUGAAGAUCAUUGCUACAUACAUUCAUAUUUGUGUUGAAAGCAGAACUCUCGAAACACUGGGAAAUGUUGCGGGCUGAUGUGAUUCAUUUUCGUAUGCAGAGCCUCAAGACUGCAGUGCAAGGCCAUCUGCGCUCAGACAGACAGGCAGACACGUGUCUCCCUUUCCAAUGCCAGGAGAAGCAAACCAGCUUGUGUUCUAUAAGGAUCAGCUUCCAUGGAAGAUUCCUGAUGGCUUGCAAAGGUGACUCCUCAGAGUCUCCAGACUUCUGGACAAAGAAGAGGAGGAAAUUAUGGCAGCAGGAAAAUCUAUGCAAAUAAAUCCUCAGUAACGAGAGGGAAGUUGAGUUUCACACUGUUUGAUUUUGACUUUUA